CCCUUAGAUGUCCUGGGCCGCUCGCGCGUUACACUGAUGCAUUCAACGAGCUUAUAACCUUGGCCGAGAGGCCUGGGCAAUCUUGUUAACGUGCAUCGUGAUAGGGAUAGAUUAUUGAAAUUAUUAAUCUUGAACGAGGAAUUCCUAGUAAACGCAGAUCAUCAAUCUGCAUUGAUUACGUCCCUGCCCUUUGUACACACCGCCCGUCGCACCUACCGAUUGGAUGGUCCGGUGAAGCCUCGGGAUUGUGGUUCUUGCCGCUUUAUUGUGGCGUGACCGCGAGAACUUGUCUAAACCUUAUCAUCUAGAGGAAGGUGAAGUCGUAACA
rnacentral:rRNA from 1 species